CUACGGGUGGCUGCAGUGGGGAAUAUUGCACAAUGGGCGCAAGCCUGAUGCAGCCAUGCCGCGUGUGUGAAGAAGGCCUUCGGGUUGUAAAGCACUUUCAGCGGGGAGGAAGGCGUUAAGGUUAAUAACCUUGGCGAUUGACGUUACCCGCAGAAGAAGCACCGGCUAACUCCGUGCCAGCAGCCGCGGUAAUACGGAGGGUGCAAGCGUUAAUCGGAAUUACUGGGCGUAAAGCGCACGCAGGCGGUCUGUCAGGUCGGAUGUGAAAUCCCCGGGCUCAACCUGGGAACUGCAUUCGAAACUGGCAGGCUAGAGUCUUGUAGAGGGGGGUAGAAUUCCAGGUGUAGCGGUGAAAUGCGUAGAGAUCUGGAGGAAUACCGGUGGCGAAGGCGGCCCCCUGGACAAAGACUGACGCUCAGGUGCGAAGGCGUGGGGAGCAAACAGGAUUAGAUACCCUUGUAGUC
rnacentral:rRNA from 1 species